rnacentral:rRNA from 1 species
AUGCCAACCUUCCGUGAAGCUGCAGAAAAACGGGGGCUCAUUGAGGCAGACAACACAUUGGAUGACUGCAUGACAGAAGCGCAGUUGUUUCAAAUGUCAUCAUCGCUACGAAGGCUAUUGGCGACAAUCCUGGUGUUUUGCGAGCCCAGCGAUGUCCGUAGCCUCUGGAACAAACACCUCGAGUCAAUGUCAGAAGACUACAUCAGAAACUGCAAAUGCAAGCACACGGUCGAACAUAUGGUGCUUAGAAAUAUCAGAGACAUGUUGCACUCAAUGGGAAAAGACAUAAAAUCAUUUCCUCUUCUAGAGAUCGAGAAACAACAUGAGAUGACAGACGACGUACCUAGGGAGAUCAUCGAGGAGACCUCGAUCGAGGUGAACCUAGAGGACGCAUCUUUACAUAGAAACCUAAACAACGAGCAAAGAAAGGCCUAUGAUGAAAUCCUACAUGCAAUUGACUGCCAAAUAGGAGGCAUAUUCUUUGUCGAUGGACCAGGAGGCACAGGAAAAACUUUUCUUUACAGGGCACUCCUGGCCACAAUACGCGGACAAGGCAAGAUUGCUAUGGCGACGGCCACUUUCGGUGUUGCUGCUUCCAUAAUGCCUGGAGGGAGGACCGCACACUCAAGGUUCAAGAUUCCACUAAAAAUAGACGAUGGAGCUAUUUGUGGAUUCACAAAACAAAGUGGGACAACCAAGCUACUUCAAGCAGCAUCACUAAUAAUCUGGGACGAAGCAUCUAUGACUAAGAGGCAGACAGUGGAGGCGCUAGACAAAAGCAUGUGA